UGGGGAAUAUUGGACAAUGGGCGCAAGCCUGAUCCAGCCAUGCCGCGUGGAUGAUGAAGGCCUUAGGGUUGUAAAGUCCUUUCGGCGGGGAAGAUAAUGACGGUACCCGCAGAAGAAGCCCCGGCUAACUUCGUGCCAGCAGCCGCGGUAAUACGAAGGGGGCUAGCGUUGCUCGGAAUCACUGGGCGUAAAGCGCACGUAGGCGGCUUUUUAAGUCAGGGGUGAAAUCCUGGAGCUCAACUCCAGAACUGCCUUUGAUACUGAGAAGCUUGAGUCCGGGAGAGGUGAGUGGAACUGCGAGUGUAGAGGUGAAAUUCGUAGAUAUUCGCAAGAACACCAGUGGCGAAGGCGGCUCACUGGCCCGAUACUGACACUGAGGCACGAAAGCGUGGGGAGCAAACAGGAUUAGAUACCCCCGUAGUCCCUGAGCGGGCUGGCAAGGCGCAU
rnacentral:rRNA from 1 species